rnacentral:rRNA from 1 species
ACUCMUACGGGAGGCAGCAGUGGGGAAUCUUCCGCAAKGGACGAAASUCUGASGGAGCAACGCCGCGUGAACGAUGACGGCCUUCGGGUUGUAAAGUUCUGUUAUACGGGACGAAUGGCGUAGCGGUCAAUACCCGUUACGAGUGACGGUACCGUAAGAGAAAGCCACGGCUAACUACGUGCCAGCAGCCGCGGUAAUACGUAGGUGGCAAGCGUUGUCCGGAAUUAUUGGGSGUAAAGGGCGCGCAGGCGGCGUYGUAAGUCGGUCUUAAAAGUGCGGGGCUUAACCCCGUGAGGGGACCGAAACUGCGAUGCUAGAGUAUCGGAGAGGAAUGCGGAAUUCCUAGUGUAGCGGUGAAAUGCGUAGAUAUUAGGAGGAACACCAGUGGCGAAAGCGGCUUUCUGGACGACAACUGACGCUGAGGCGCGAAAGCCAGGGGAGCGAACGGGAUUAGAUACCCCGGUAGUCCUGGCCGUAAACGAUGGAUACUAGGUGUAGGAGGUAUCGACCCCUUCUGUGCCGGAGUUAACGCAAUAAGUAUCCCGCCUGGGRAGUACGGCCGCAAGGCUUAAACUCAAAUGAAUUGACSGARRUYG